GAUGAACGCUGGCGGCGUGCCUAAUACACGCAAGUCGAGCGAAAGGUCCUGAUGCUUGUUUCUCUGUCGUUUGCGGCAGCCGGGUGCCUAACCCGAGGAUACCGUACUUCUAGGCCCGGGAUCAUUUGGAGAAACGGGGGAUAAAAUCACAAAAUAUCCUGCAGCGCGGGGUUUGACCGUGAGAGGCGGCGUUGGGGUCACUUCUCGCGGGAUCCGCGCUGCUUUGGCUGGUAGGUAAGGAAACGGCUUACCAAGGCAACGCUGCAUAGCCGACCUGCGAGGGGGAUCGGCCACUCUGGAACUGAGACGCAGUCCAGACUCCUACGGUAGGCAGCAGUAGCGAAUCUUCCGCAAGGGGCGAAAGCCUGACGGAGCAACGCCGCGUGAGUGAUGAAAGUCUUCGGAUCGUAAAACUCUGUUAUGAGGGAAGAACAUAUGUGUAAGUAGCUGUGCACAGCGUGACGGUACCGAAUCAGAAAGCCACGGCUAACUACGUG
rnacentral:rRNA from 1 species